UGCCAUUAGCUAGAUGGUAAGGUAACGGCUUACCAUGGCAAUGAUGGCUAGGGGUUCUGCAAGGAAGGCCCCCCACACUGGUACUGAGACACGGACCAGACUCCUACGGGAGGCAGCAGUGAGGAAUAUUGGUCAAUGGAGGCAACUCUGAACCAGCCAAGCCGCGUGAAGGAAGACUGUCCUAUGGAUUGUAAACUUCUUUUGUGGCAGAAUAAACUACCGUACUUGUACGGUAUUGCAUGUAUGCCAUGAAUAAGCAUCGGCUAACUCCGUGCCAGCAGCCGCGGUAAUACGGAGGAUGCAGGCGUUAUCCGGAUUUAUUAGGUUUAAAGGGUGUUCAGGCUGCCUGGUAAGUCAGGGGUGAAAGUCGGUCGCUCAACGAUCGAAUUGCCUUUGAAACUGUCAGGCUCGAGUAUGGAUGCGGUAGGCGGAAUGUGUAGUGUAGCGGUGAAAUGCCAUAGAUAUUACCACCAGAACACCGAUUGCGAAGGCAGCUUACCAAACCAGCACUGACGCUGAAGCACGAAAGCCGUGGGGAGCGAACAGGAUUAGAUACCCUGGUAGUCAACGCCGUAGACUUUUGCUCACUCCCUGUUGCCGAUAGACUAGUCAGCGGCCAAGGGAAACCGAUAAAGUGAGCCACCUUGGGGAGUACGGGCCGCAAGGUUGGAAACUCAAAAGGAAUUGACAGGGGGCCGGCACAAGCGGUGGAACAUGUUGGUUUAAAUUCGGAUGAAUAACGCGAGGAACUUUACCUGGGCUUAAAUGUGAAGCGCAUUGAUUGCGAAACAAUCAUUUCCUUCGGGACCCUUUACAAGGUGCUGUAUGGCUUGUCGUCAGCUCGUGCCGUGAGGUGUCGGGGUUAAGUCCCCAUAACGAGCGCGACCCCUAUUGUUAGUUACCAGCGCGUAAUGGCGGGGACUCUAGCGAAACUGCCGGUGUAAACCGCGAGGAAGGUGGGGAUGACGUCAA
rnacentral:rRNA from 1 species